rnacentral:rRNA from 1 species
GUGGGGAAUAUUGGACAAUGGGGGGAACCCUGAUCCAGCCAUGCCGCGUGUGUGAAGAAGGCCUUUUGGUUGUAAAGCACUUUAAGUGAGGAGGAGGCUACCGAGAUUAAUACUCUUGGAUAGUGGACGUUACUCGCAGAAUAAGCACCGGCUAACUCUGUGCCAGCAGCCGCGGUAAUACAGAGGGUGCAAGCGUUAAUCGGAUUUACUGGGCGUAAAGCGCGCGUAGGUGGCCAAUUAAGUCAAAUGUGAAAUCCCCGAGCUUAACUUGGGAAUUGCAUUCGAUACUGGUUGGCUAGAGUAUGGGAGAGGAUGGUAGAAUUCCAGGUGUAGCGGUGAAAUGCGUAGAGAUCUGGAGGAAUACCGAUGGCGAAGGCAGCCAUCUGGCCUAAUACUGACACUGAGGUGCGAAAGCAUGGGGAGCAAACAGGAUUAGAUACCCCUGUAGUCC